rnacentral:rRNA from 1 species
CUUUCCAAUUGUUUUUGCUUGCAUAAAUGAUUUUUUUUUUCGGAGCGAGUGGCGAACUGGUGAGUAACACGUGGGUAACCUGCCCCGAAGCGGGGGAUAACAUUUGGAAACAAGUGCUAAUACCGCAUAAUUAGUUGGAACCGCAUGGUUCCAACUUGAAAGAUGGCUCUGCUAUCACUUUGGGAUGGACCCGCGCCGUAUUAGUUAGUUGGUGAGAUAAAAGCCCACCAAGACGAUGAUACGUAGCCGACCUGAGAGGGUAAUCGGCCACAUUGGGACUGAGACACGGCCCAGACUCCUACGGGAGGCAGCAGUAGGGAAUCUUCCACAAUGGACGAAAGUCUGAUGGAGCAACGCCGCGUGAGUGAUGAAGGUUUUCGGAUCGUAAAACUCUGUUGUUAAAGAAGAACAAGUGUUAGAGUAACUGUUAACACUUUGACGGUAUUUAACCAGAAAGCCACGGCUAACUACGUGCCAGCAGCCGCGGUAAUACGUAGGUGGCAAGCGUUGUCCGGAUUUAUUGGGCGUAAAGCGAGCGCAGGCGGUUUUGUAAGUCUGCUGUGAAAGCCCUCAGCUCAACUGAGGAAGUGCAGUGGAAACUACAAAACUUGAGUACAGAAGAGGAAAGUGGAACUCCAUGUGUAGCGGUGAAAUGCGUAGAUAUAUGGAAGAACACCAGUGGCGAAGGCGGCUUUCUGGUCUGUUACUGACGCUGAGGCUCGAAAGCAUGGGUAGCGAACAGGAUUAGAUACCCUGGUAGUCCAUGCCGUAAACGAUGAAUACUAGGUGUUGGAGGGUUUCCGCCCUUCAGUGCCGCAGCUAACGCAUUAAGUAUUCCGCCUGGGGAGUACGACCGCAAGGUUGAAACUCAAAGGAAUUGACGGGGGCCCGCACAAGUGGUGGAGCAUGUGGUUUAAUUCGAUGCUACGCGAAGAACCUUACCAGCUCUUGACAUCUUCUGCCAACCCAAGAGAUUGGGCGUUCCCUUCGGGGACAGAAUGACAGGUGGUGCAUGGGUUGUCGUCAGCUCGUGUCGUGAGAUGUUGGGUUAAGUCCGCACGAGCGCAACCCUUAUUUAUUAUUUGCCACCAUUUAGUUUGGGCACUUUAAGGGAAACUGGCCCGGGGAAUAAACCCGAGA